AGCGAACGCUGGCGGCAGGCCUAACACAUGCAAGUCGAACGCCCUCUUUGAGGGAGUGGCAGACGGGUGAGUAACACGUGGGAACGUGCCCAGAGGUGGGGAACAACUGCUGGAAACGGCAGCUAAUACCCCAUGAGCCCUACGGGGGAAAGAUUUAUCGCCUUUGGAUCGGCCCGCGUCGGAUUAGCUAGUUGGUGAGGUAACGGCUCACCAAGGCGACGAUCCGUAGCUGGUUUGAGAGGAUGAUCAGCAACACUGGGACUGAGACACGGCCCAGACUCCUACGGGAGGCAGCAGUGGGGAAUCUUGGACAAUGGGGGCAACCCUGAUCCAGCCAUGCCGCGUGAGCGAUGAAGGCCCUAGGGUUGUAAAGCUCUUUCACCGGUGAAGAUAAUGACGGUAGCCGGAGAAGAAGCCCCGGCUAACUCCGUG
rnacentral:rRNA from 1 species